UACGGAGGGUGCGAGCGUUGUCCGGAAUCACUGGGCGUAAAGGGCGCGUAGGCGGCGCGAGUAGUCAACGGUGAAAGCCCGGGGCUCAACCCCGGGUCGGCCGUCGAUACUCUCGUGCUUGAGCACUGUAGAGGCAGGUGGAAUUCCGGGUGUAGCGGUGGAAUGCGUAGAGAUCCGGAAGAACACCGGUGGCGAAGGCGGCCUGCUGGGCAGUAGCUGACGCUGAGGCGCGACAGCGUGGGGAGCAAACAGG
rnacentral:rRNA from 1 species